GACGAACGCUGGCGGCGUGCCUAAUACAUGCAAGUAGAACGCUGAAGGAGGAGCUUGCUUCUCCGGAUGAGUUGCGAACGGGUGAGUAACGCGUAGGUAACCUGCCUGGUAGCGGGGGAUAACUAUUGGAAACGAUAGCUAAUACCGCAUAAGAGUAGAUGUCGCAUGACAUUUGCUUAAAAGGUGCAACUGCACCACUACCAGAUGGACCUGCGUUGUAUUAGCUAGUUGGUGAGGUAACGGCUCACCAAGGCAACGAUACAUAGCCGACCUGAGAGGGUGAUCGGCCACACUGGGACGGAGACACGGCCCAGAGUCAUACGGGAGGCAGCAGUAGGGAAUCUUCGGCAAUGGACGGAAGUCUGACCGAGCAACGCCGAGUGAGUGAAGAAGGUUUUCGGAUCGUAAAGCUCUGUUGUAAGAGAAGAACGAGUGUGAGAGUGGAAAGUUCACACUGUGACGGUAUCUUACCAGAAAGGGACGGCUAACUACGUG
rnacentral:rRNA from 1 species